rnacentral:rRNA from 1 species
AGGCAGCAGUGGGGAAUUUUGGACAAUGGACGCAAGUCUGAUCCAGCCAUUCCGCGUGCAGGACGAAGGCCUUCGGGUUGUAAACUGCUUUUGUACAGAACGAAAAGGUCUCUAUUAAUACUAGGGGCUCAUGACGGUACUGUAAGAAUAAGACACCGGCUAACUACGUGCCAGCAGCCGCGGUAAUA